AUGCGGCCGGGCCGAGACGACGACGGCCCCACAAGUAGACACCACACUGGCCGACGACCCUUCCUGCUUCAAGAAGAAGAGAUGGACCCAGAGACCUAUGCUGGGCUCCACGCCCAGGUAGCCUUCGCACAACAUGAUGAAGCCGGAGAGCUGACACACCGCGUUUGUGCCCAAGUGGUGCGAUUGCAGCUCGAAGAAAUCCAGGAAGGAGUGGAAGAAGGUGCUCGCAGGGAGGCCGAGCCCGCGCUGGGUGAGGAAGACACGCGCUCGGUCCCCUCCGGCUACUGCACAACCUCGUCGCCCGCCAUGCGCACGGCCACCUUCCUCAUCGGCGGCAGUCUCCUGGUGUCACAGAGGUACUGA
rnacentral:rRNA from 1 species